GGAAGGCUGUAGUUCAGUGGCAGGGCAUCUGUCCUGAAUGCAGAAGGUCCCACGUUCAAUCCCCAGCAUCUCCA